ACGGGAGGCAGCAGUGAGGAAUAUUGGUCAAUGGGCGGAAGCCUGAACCAGCCAAGUCGCGUGAAGGAAGACGGUUCUAUGGAUUGUAAACUUCUUUUGCAUGAGGGUAAAGUGACCUACGUGUAGGUUAUUGCAAGUAUCAUGUGAAUAAGCAUCGGCUAACUCCGUGCCAGCAGCCGCGGUAAUACGGAGGAUGCGAGCGUUAUCCGGAUUUAUUGGGUUUAAAGGGUGCGUAGGCGGGAUAUUAAGUCAGCGGUGAAAGUUUGCGGCUCAACCGUAAAAUUGCCGUUGAAACUGGUGUCCUUGAGUGUAAACGAGGUAGGCGGAAUGUAACGUGUAGCGGUGAAAUGCUUAGAUAUGUUACAGAACUCCGAUUGCGAAGGCAGCUUACCAGCAUACAACUGACGCUGAGGCACGAAAGUGCGGGGAUCAAACAGGAUUAGAUACCCUGGUA
rnacentral:rRNA from 1 species